GUUUUCAGGAACAAUGGCUGGCAGUACAGAAGGCACAUGGAACAAGACUGUCAGCACAAAAGGCCAAGUGAAGACAUGUAAACCCUCGCUGUUGGAGAAUCCUCACAGCCGUGUAUUGAUCUAAGUGGGAUUGUGACGGUCGUGAGGACAAGAUGUCACACAAUGAUAUGAUGGAGUCCAGUUUGUACAACAAGGAUGUGCUCGACUGAGGAAAGAGCUGGAUCCGUCUUGCUGACCUUGGAAUGCAGCUGUGAAGCCCUUUUUGGAUGAUGACUCUGAGGGCUUGUGGACAACCCAUGAAUAUCAAGAACAUGUCAAGAUUUCUUUUGUGUGAAUAAAUGCUAAAAGAAAUA